AGUGGCGAGCGAAUGGGAAAGAGCCCAAACCAGUUAUGUUACGGCAUAACUGGGGUUGUAGGACUACAAUAUGGCAUUAAUGAAAUGAAGUGGAACAGGAUGGGAAGCCUGGCAAUAUAGCGUGAGAGCCGCGUACACGUAAGUAACAUUAGUCUAGUAGUAUCCUGAGUACCGCGAGGUCGGAGACGCCUUGUGGGAAUCUGCCGGCACCAUCCGGUAAGGCUAAAUACU
rnacentral:rRNA from 17 species